CCAGCCCCGCCCGCUCCCUGCAGCAGCCGCAAGGCGGGGGCGGAGGCGGGGCCCAAGCCCUGGUCUGAGCCGGAUCAAACGGGGCGGCCGGGUCCGAGGGGGGCUCCAGGGAACUGGGUGCGCGACUCUCGGAGCAGCCAGAAAGCAUCUCCCAGCAAUGGACCCAACACCCAGGAAGUCUCACAACCAUCCCAGGACACACAAUCUGUCAGUGUGAUUUACUUCUCCCACAUCAUCCCCUCCCACCCUUCAGACCCCGGUUGGUUUCUCUCAUUCACUCACUGCCUUUUGUCACAAUCUAGACCCAGGCCAUGCAAAGACUUUGGCAGAAAAGUAACUUGACCCACGUUGGUCUAUGCAUCCGAAGAAGUGGGCUGUAGUCCACGAAAGCUUAUGCUCUAAUAAAUUUGUUAGUCUCUAAGGUG